UAUCAAGGAGAGAUGGCUAAUCACCGGAAUGAAAUCUAAUUUUUCUAGGAUUUAUUAAUUUUGUGCACAUUUAUAUUUUGGAUAUACAUUUUUAGAUUCUUAUUCUUGAUCAUACAUUUUGAUCUUUGCUUCACUGAAACUUCAAACCGAAGGCCUCUUACUUUUAAACUUUUUAACUUGCUAAUAUUUAACUAAGUUCAGCAUAACUUUACUUUAUAAUAAUGUUGUUUGAAAUUAU
rnacentral:lncRNA from 1 species